AUGCAGUCCUAUAAAGAGCCAAAUCUCUGGGUACAUUCCAGUCCUGUAAGUCUCUUUUUACGGCCUCCUCCCGUGCCAAUUCUGGUCGCCCUCCUACCGCUCCUAGUAUUUUCGCUACUCUUUAGAAUACCGCUAUUCACUGGUGCUUCUGCAGGUCUCCGUUGGAUAUGUCCAAACCAUCUUAGUCGCUGUUGGACAAGCUUCUCUUCAAUUGGUGCCACCCCUGCCUUAUCACGUAUUCCCUCGUUCCUAAUCUGGCCCUUUAUUGUAUGGCCACACAUCCACCUUAGCAUGCGCAUCUCAGUGACACUCAUUUGUUGGAUGUGUUGUCUCUUAGUAGGCCAACACUCUGCUCCAUAUAAGACAGCCGUCCUAUAG
rnacentral:rRNA from 1 species